CUUAAUUGUUUAAGUCAGAGAAAUCUUCACCACUUCUACUCAGCACUUAAAGAGGGCGCUUUGACAUCGAGCUGUGACUAUUCCUGAAAAGUGCCAAGAGAAAGUAAAACAAUGAAUUUGUGCCUGUUGCUGAUUACUUUGGGGAUUAUUACUGUGCAGGGCGCACAGCCAGAAAACCAACAGAAGUCUAUGAACCCUAAAGCCAAGCGCUAUCAUGAGCCAGAACCUUGUAGACGUUUGAAUGGUGGGGAAUGUAGACCACGCCCGAUGGAUCCAAGUGUGUGGCCAUGUCCCAAUUUUAUUUGCCCUAUGAAUCCCUGUCCAGAGUCCCAAUACACAGUGUGCUGCUGUCCUGGGUAUGAAUAAAAUACCUAACUAGUGUAGAUUCUAUCUACCAUCGUUAUAACCUCGUCAGUAAAAUUCUUGGGUCAUCAUCACAGUUAAUACAG